GAUGGAUCAAAUCCAAUCCAUUUACAAUUUUUUGUUGUUGGAUGGAUUGGAUGGAUUUUGUA
rnacentral:pre_miRNA from 1 species